AAAUUUUUAAAAAAAUGUAAACUCAGAUUUCAUGAUGUAAUGUUAUAUGGUGAUGUAAUAAUUUCGUCUCCUGUCUCUCAGCUGCUGCUCGCCGUCGUCGUCUUGUCCUGGUCGUACGUGAUCUACGCCAGCAGGGUCGCAGCUCAUUGGCUGCUGGAGGAGAGGCCCGCCCUCCUGCAGCAGCACUGACAGCUCAUUGGUCGGCUCGUACAGGCUGACGGAUCCGGACUCUCAGAGACCCGAGCCUCCGACUCGGACCUGAACCAGGACCUGUGACGACCCACCGGAGACAACGAGACAUGAAGACACGAGACAAGGAUUCCUGGGGACGCUCUGUGCGUCGUCAUCUCGUCCACACGGAGAUCGAUCAGUUCCCACAAACAAACAAAUCUGCACAAAAAAGCUCCGAAUAAAAUAACUGAAGUCAGAGAGAAACGGAGAGCGUCGAGGAAAACCCAACUCACGCAGACGUCUGCAGGACAAACAAUAAUCGGAGGACACGCGGCCGCAGACGGCUGCGUUCGGGAGUAUGUUGUGUGGUAUUUGUACUUUAUUUUGAUUUGUCUAAUGUGUGGUAUUUGUACUUUAUUUUGAUGUAUUUGAUGCGUUUUUAUAUUAAAGAGAUUUUGCAGAUA